rnacentral:rRNA from 1 species
UAGCAUAUCAAUAAGCGGAGGAAAAGAACCAACAGGGAUUGCCCUAGUAACGGCGAGUGAAGCGGCAACAGCUCAAAUUUGAAAUCUGGCUCUUUCAGAGUCCGAGUUGUAAUUUGCAGAGGGCGCUUUGGCGUUGGCAGCGGUCCAAGUUCUUUGGAACAGGACGUCACAGAGGGUGAGAAUCCCGUACGUGGUCGCUAGCCUUCGCCGUGUAAAGCCCCUUCGACGAGUCGAGUUGUUUGGGAAUGCAGCUCUAAAUGGGAGGUAAAUUUCUUCUAAAGCUAAAUACUGGCCAGAGACCGAUAGCGCACAAGUAGAGUGAUCGAAAGAUGAAAAGCACUUUGGAAAGAGAGUCAAAUAGCACGUGAAAUUGUUGAAAGGGAAGCGCUUGCAGCCAGACUUGCCUGUAGUUGCUUAUCUGGACUUUUGUCCAGUGCACUCUUCUGCGGGCAGGCCAGCAUCAGUUUGGGCGGUUGGAUAAAGGUCUCUGUCAUGUACCUCCUUUCGGGGAGGCCUUAUAGGGGAGACGACAUGCAACCAGCCUGGACUGAGGUCCGCGCAUCUGCUAGGAUGCUGGCGUAAUGGCUGUAAGCGGCCCGUCUUGAAACACGGACCAAGGAGUCUAACAUCUAUGCGAGUGUUUGGGUGUCAAGCCCAGACGCGUAAUGAAAGUGAACGGAGGUGGGAACCUUUUAGGUGCACCAUCGACCGAUCCUGAUGUCUUCGGAAGGAUUUGAGUAAGAGCAUAGCUGUUGGGACCCGAAAGAUGGUGAACUAUGCUUGAAUAGGGUGAAGCCAGAGGAAACUCUGGUGGAGGCUCGCAGCGGUUCUGACGUGCAAAUCGAUCGUCAAAUUUGGGCAUAGGGGCGAAAGACUAAUCGAACUAUCUAGUAGCUGGUUCCUGCCGAU